ACACGUGAGUAACCUGCCCUUGACUUCGGGAUAACUCCGGGAAACCGGGGCUAAUACCGGAUAUGAGCCGUCCUCGCAUGGGGGUGGUUGGAAAGUUUUUCGGUCAGGGAUGGGCUCGCGGCCUAUCAGCUUGUUGGUGGGGUGAUGGCCUACCAAGGCGACGACGGGUAGCCGGCCUGAGAGGGCGACCGGCCACACUGGGACUGAGACACGGCCCAGACUCCUACGGGAGGCAGCAGUGGGGAAUAUUGCACAAUGGGCGAAAGCCUGAUGCAGCGACGCCGCGUGAGGGAUGAAGGCCUUCGGGGUGUAAACCUCUUCAGCAGGGAGAAGCGCAAGUGACGGUACCUGCAGAAGAAGCGCCGGCUAACUACGUGCCAGCAGCCGCGGUAAUACGUAGGGCGCAAGCGUUGUCCGGAAUUAUUGGGCGUAAAGAGCUCGUAGGCGGUUUGUCGCGUCUGGUGUGAAAACUCGAGGCUCAACCUCGAGCUUGCAUCGGGUACGGGCAGACUAGAGUGCGGUAGGGGAGACUGGAAUUCCUGGUGUAGCGGUGGAAUGCGCAGAUAUCAGGAGGAACACCGAUGGCGAAGGCAGGUCUCUGGGCCGCAACUGACGCUGAGGAGCGAAAGCAUGGGGAGCGAACAGGAUUAGAUACCCUGGUAGUCCAUGCCGUAAACGUUGGGCACUAGGUGUGGGGCUCAUUCCACGAGUUCCGUGCCGCAGCAAACGCAUUAAGUGCCCCGCCUGGGGAGUACGGCCGCAAGGCUAAAACUCAAAGGAAUUGACGGGGGCCCGCACAAGCGGCGGAGCAUGCGGAUUAAUUCGAUGCAACGCGAAGAACCUUACCAAGGCUUGACAUGCACGAGAAGCCACCAGAGAUGGUGGUCUCUUUGGACACUCGUGCACAGGUGGUGCAUGGUUGUCGUCAGCUCGUGUCGUGAGAUGUUGGGUUAAGUCCCGCAACGAGCGCAACCCUCGUCCCAUGUUGCCAGCGGGUUAUGCCGGGGACUCAUGGGAGACUGCCGGGGUCAACUCGGAGGAAGGUGGGGAUGACGUCAAAUCAUCAUGCCCCUUAUGUCUUGGGCUUCACGCAUGCUACAAUGGCCGGUACAAAGGGCUGCGAUACCGUAAGGUGGAGCGAAUCCCAAAAAGCCGGUCUCAGUUCGGAUUGGGGUCUGCAACUCGACCCCAUGAAGUCGGAGUCGCUAGUAAUCGCAGAUCAGCAACGCUGCGGUGAAUACGUUCCCGGGCCUUGUACACACCGCCCGUCAAGUCACGAAAGUCGGUAACACCCGA
rnacentral:rRNA from 1 species